CUGCGGAGGGAUCAUUACAAGUGACCCCGGUCUUACCACCGGGAUGUUCAUAACCCUUUGUUGUCCGACUCUGUUGCCUCCGGGGCGACCCUGCCUUCGGGCGGGGGCUCCGGGUGGACACUUCAAACUCUUGCGUAACUUUGCAGUCUGAGUAAACUUAAUUAAUAAAUUAAAACUUUUAACAACGGAUCUCUUGGUUCUGGCAUCGAUGAAGAACGCAGCGAAAUGCGAUAAGUAAUGUGAAUUGCAGAAUUCAGUGAAUCAUCGAAUCUUUGAACGCACAUUGCGCCCCCUGGUAUUCCGGGGGGCAUGCCUGUUCGAGCGUCAUUUCACCACUCAAGCCUCGCUUGGUAUUGGGCAACGCGGUCCGCCGCGUGCCUCAAAUCGACCGGCUGGGUCUUCUGUCCCCUAAGCGUUGUGGAAACUAUUCGCUAAAGGGUGUUCGGGAGGCUACGCCGUAAAACAACCCCAUUUCUAAGGUUGACCUCGGAUCAGGUAGGGAUACCCGCUGAACUUAAGCAUAUCAAU
rnacentral:rRNA from 1 species